rnacentral:rRNA from 1 species
CACGGGUGAGUAACACGUAUCCAACCUGCCGUCUACUCUUGGACAGCCUUCUGAAAGGAAGAUUAAUCCAGGAUGGCAUCAUGAGUUCACAUGUCCGCAUGAUUAAAGGUAUUUUCCGGUAGACGAUGGGGAUGCGUUCCAUUAGAUAGUAGGCGGGGUAACGGCCCACCUAGUCAACGAUGGAUAGGGGUUCUGAGAGGAAGGUCCCCCACAUUGGAACUGAGACACGGUCCAA